AGUGCAACUGCAAAAGUUGUGCGUCCUGAAACUAAUACUUCAUCAAUAGCACCACGAGUCAAAUCAGAACUUCCUUUGCCCGUAAUCCCAACAGAGGUGGAACAGUCUAUUCUUGAAGACUUGAGAAACCGUGUACAGUUGAGUAGUGCGGCACUGCCAUCUGUUAGCUUUUAUACAUUUAUCAACACGCACAAUGGUUUGAACUGUUCAUCAAUAUCCCAGGAUGGAUCUUUGGUUGCUGGUGGAUUCUCAGACUCCUCAUUGAAGGUUUGGGAUAUGGCUAAACUUGGACAGCAAUCUGGCAAUUCUGUUUUGCAGGGUGAAAAUGAUACUGCUCCAAGUGAACAUGUCCUGGGGCCAAAUGGUGUCAAAAGAUCCUACACAUUAUUUCAGGGUCAUUUGGGUCCUGUUUAUUCUGCCACUUUUAGUCCUCUUGGGGAUUUUAUUCUUUCCUCUUCAGCGGACACGACAAUUCGAUUAUGGAGCACAAAACUAAAUGC
rnacentral:misc_RNA from 1 species